UGAAAAUACAUUGUGUGAAACUGAAUUUAUAAAAUCAGAAAAUACAUUCAUUUUAAGAAAUUAAUAAUAAUAAAAUGAUAAUACUCCUUUUAAUGCAGUCUGGGAGAAAGGUGAUGAUAAAAGGUUGCUUCAACUUGUGCACGGUUGAAAUUAAAUGUGCAUAUGAAUUAACAACAGAAGCUAACAUUAUGUUUAGCAGAUAAACAGCCGAACCACAAUGCAGUCGGUCUGAAAGUGUAAUAGAUGCCCACAGCUCGAAUAGCAGAGUACAGAAGAGUGCGGCCUCGCGCAUGCAUUACGUUUCUCCGCACGUGUGCACAAAAGAUGGCUUUCCAGACUCGCGCCCUAUCUGUUGUCAUAGCUACUCGGUUUGUUUAGUGUCUGUGGAACUAUGAAAAAAAGUUUCAUUGGAUCCUCACCGUCCAGGAAUCGCCUGCAGCAAUAACGGGCUCGAGACUCACAGGCCCGGGGAUAUUCGCUUAGGCAACGAGGUGAACUGAUCUUCUUUCGGGUAGCUAUGAAAUUCCAGCCUUCAGCUCUGCUGCAGAGGUAACAAAAGAUGUCAGGCAAAUAUUUCAGCUGCCACAAUAGCGAGAAGCUCUUUUUAUGGAGAAUGAAAACAGAACGCCCUCCUGCCCAGGAUUAACAGCUGAGCGAACCUGACUGAAACGAAGUUGGAGCAGAAGGCUCUGAAGCAAGCUAAGCAGAAGAAAUCUAAGUCGGCUGAAUUUCUGAUGGCCAAAGAGCAGGAGCAGGAGGAAGAGGAGGGGGUGAUGAUGAAGGGCAUUGUAAAUCCUGGGUUCCUGAGUGGAGAGGAGGAGGAUGAGCAGAGCUGUUGCAGACAGAGGGAUGGGGGGAGAGAAAUAGGAGGUGACGGGCAGGAUAGCACUCUUGCCGCUCACCAACAGCAAAAGGACCUGGAAGCCCUUGUAAGCACAAGAGGAAAUGAAGGUGCUCGAAAUUACUUUGACCCCUGGGCGACAGUGGAGGGUGACCUGAGGCAGCACGGGAUGUUCAGGGUUGGCGCGGGAGAUGAGCUAGAAUUAAAAUUCAUGCAUGAGGACGAACGGGGACUGUAUGAGAAACUGUCUCAGAUACUGAAUGAAGAUGAAGUUUCGACUGUAAUAGAUUUACCUGGUAGUUUUAUGGAAGAAAGACCAGUGGCUGUGGCUCCGAGAGUCCCACAGGCUGGAUGGAGAGAUCAUUUGAGGGAGAAGUUGGAGAAGAGAGAACAGGUUAUACCCCACUAUGUGGAACAACUGAGAGAACAUGUGCAGGAUGACAUGAUCCCAGUGGGCAGGGCUUCACUGGAGCAGGAUGAAUGCACGGCGGAGGAGAAGGAGUGCACGAGAAAACGGAGAGUGAUGGCUGUCUUAAGGGGGAAUACAAAGGAGUCGUUUUCCGUACGAGACUUGAAACAAGAGGAAGCUGCACUGCAGGAUCGGCUUUAUGCGGCUUUUCAGCGUUCAGAGAGACGUUUGCUGAAAUCACUGCGUCAGCGUCAGGCUGAAGUCAUUGCCCAGUAUGGAGAAAUCACUGACAUCACUGAGCCAUUGGGCAUCGGAUCUGACCUUCCCUGGCAGGUGGAGUGGACACGCACCCCACAGCCCAUGGAAGUGCGUGUGGUGUGUUUACGGGCAGUGAGGGAGAAGCUCAGCAGGGGGCUGUACAGUGUGUGUGUGUCCCUGCAGAGUGGGCUGAGUGGCCCUGCGCUGCGCUGGUCUCGCCUGAAGGAGCAGCAGUGGACGAGAGUCACAGAGCCAGUGGAACAUCAUGGCAGAAUCUGUGACAUGGAGCUACUCAUUAACCAGAACCUCCAUGUGGUCUUGCCUGCAUCAUGUGACCUCUUACCCUCCAGUGUGCUGAUGUUCAAGCUUCUGAGCAUGCCCAGUAAGCAAUGUGCUGUGAGUGCAGUGGUGGCCUGGGGGGUAUUCCCCGUGUGUGACUGCUCUCUAACCCUUAUCCAAGGUAGAUUUCGCACUCCACUGCUUCGGGGUUGUCCCAACUCAGCGAUAGACCAGUUCAGUAAAAUAGAGCGGCUGCUCUCUGCUGACUUGGACAACUGGCUCUGCAACCUUUACUUCCAGGUAAGGAAACUCCAGCAAAGCGAUCGAAUAGUUCCAGAGUGCAAUGCCACCGAAGGCACAAAUGAAGAGCCUCGUCCUGAUAUAUCCACCUCUACCUGCUCCUCUAACUCUCUAGCAGGUAAGAGUCCAGCUGAACUUCUCCCCGUCUUAGAGCCGACGUCAGAGAAAACUAAACCUGGAACGCAAGCCAAGGGUGGCAAACAGAACCAGCCAUUCCACAAGAUAACCAGCCAAAGUUGCUGUGAGGGAGAGAGAGAGGUACGGCGAGAGAGUAUCAUCACAGAAGAACUUCAACACUUCUCCUUCUCCAUACAAUCUCAGCGAGCUGCUCCACUCUAUAAUAUUGUUUGCUGUGGUCCAGCAGAGCGGUUGCGCAUUGUAUGGCGUAUGCUUCCCACAGAGCUUGGAUUAUCUGGAAUCCCUCGGCCCAGUUUUGGCCAGCUCACACUCCUCCUCACCCUCAUCCUCUUCACUUGGUUUCCCCGCCUUUACCUGCACUACUGCAGCCAGUGGCUCUACCUUCAUGUUCGAAACGUUCCUGUCAACAGGUUUUGCUUCCAUGCCCACACAGUGGAUUUAGUAUAUCAGAGCUCUCUCCUGCUCACCCUGGAGGAACUGCUGCUGGUGUUGUUGGGGCCCUUGACCUUGAAUGCAGCUAUGUUUCUGUUGCUUCUGAUCAGAUGGCUCUGUCAGCUAGUGUUUGGCUCAACUCCUUCCUUCCUGUCAAAGCUGAUCAUGGCUCUGGGAGUGUGGACAGUGCUUGACCCUCUGGCGGUCUUCACUGUAGACGCUGUCCUUGGGCGUCUGUCUUACAGUGCAGAAAAGCCAGUGGCUGAUGCCGCUAAGCUUUACUGGCACUUCCAUCGCUUGCAGCAGUCAGGCACAGCCGGAAUUCUCAUCACCCUUUUCCUGUACAUCGUCCUCUUCUUUCUCUCCUUCACCAUGCUCUACAUGUACUUUCUCAGGUCCCAUAAUGAUGGCAGAAUCCUGGAUGUGUACCUUCGUCUCCACAGUCCAGAGAGGGCAUUUUUUAUCCCAGAUGAUUUAGAAGUGUCCAAUCAGGAGCUUAGUUACAUUGUAAAAAAUGCGGAGCAAUGGAGAGGUUUCAAUGGCGAGAGACGAAAGGCUGUGGGUGUGCUGUGUGUCGUGCCAGGGUCAGAAUUGGUUGAGUAAUCUGGCAACUUGAUCCCCUACAUUCCUGCCCCAGCGAGUACGGAUCAUCAGUAAAGCUGAAGAAGAGUGGCUAAAUUAAAGAGGAUUACUGUCAACUGGUAUGGGAUUUGAUUCAUCUCAAAAGUGCUGAACUGUUGUCAAAGGUACAGGCAGGUAAUUGCAUCAAAGUGAGCAUUUGUGCAGGUAUGUGGCACUAAAACCCUUCUCACCUCUACCCUUUGUUUGAAUGUGUGCAUACCUACCAGAAUGUAUGCACUACAGAGACGUUUUCUCACUACUUAGCUUUUCAUUUUUAGCUGGGCCUGAUUUCCUGUAAGCACCUACCUACAUGUAGACAUAACACUGUUGGGUGGAGAAGUUGAUGAUGGUGACCUCUUUCUCCUCCUGCCGUCUACAGUCUCUCCUCGCUGACUUUUCAACUAGCUAAUCUAGUGCUGUUUGAUCAUAGCUGUGUCUUUGAGUAGUUUCUAAUGAGUUGGGGGAUGGGGGAAUCUCUCACUAGGUGGCAGUGUAUGAUUACAUCUGGACCCAGGAGGUGUCUGGAGGGUGCGAAUCCCCUGGGGCUAUAGCCACAGAAGUGGGUGAGACGAGCACCCAUGUUUCCAUCUACACGCUAUACCUGAGCGGCCUUCGUCAGUGCUACAGACACUUCCUCAGGCAGCCCACUGGAGCCAUUGUAGAGCUCAUCGGGGAUUUGGACGGUGCCGCUGCUCAUCAGAACGUCCACUAUCAGAAGAAAGGGCAGAAUGAUGUUGAUAGGAGGAUGAAGAACUCAACAAAUACACUUAGAGAGAGGAAGAGCAAGAAUCCUACAUGGCGUUGUAACAGGGUUGGACCUCUCAGUGGGA